rnacentral:lncRNA from 1 species
AAGUCAUUUCUUUUAUAACACCCACAUACCACGUUUUUAAUGCAUUUUUUUGUAUAUUUAUUUUCAAUGAUAAGAAAACACGGUUUAUGCAUACGUUACAUAGUGUAGUUAGUUAAAUUUAUUAAUUAGCUACAUAUUUACGACAUUUACCUACGUGCGUAAAAUCAAUGAGCAAAAGUGCAGUCACUGAGCCCAGCGAAUUAUUUGUAAUCAGUGGUGAAAUUAUGAACCAUUAGUUAUCAUAAUUAUAAAGUUUGUUUUUGUAGGUGUUUUCGGUCUAUUACAGAAACGACAUGUAACCAGAAGGUCUUAAGUGCAACCAGUUAAUUUAUUACUUUAUAAGAAACUGAUUGGACAUUUGCAGCUUAUCGUACAUACAUAAUCCCCGUAUUCCUCAACGAGAUAAGUCAGGAAAGGAAUUUAACGAUGCAAUUUCACCCAAUACUUCGCAAAGGGGUUAGCAAAGUCGACAGCAACGAAUGCUAGAAUACUCUGAGUAUGGCGAAAAGGCGGGGAAUUUUGCGCUGCAGUUUUUUUUUUGACGUGACUUAUUGUAGAUUUGCCGCAGAUGGCAUUAACUACUCGGCCGGACAAAUGGGGAGCGCUGAAGGCUCUCAUCCGGUACAACGUUUAAGACAACAGGCCUGAGGGUGUCCAGUUGGACGCGAACCUCGGCUCAGGGCGUCGUCUGAGAGGAAAAAUAUUUGAAAGAAUUAAUCGACCCUAGGGAGUCGAUAGCGAUAAGCGCCGAUUGAGGGAAAUCGUCGACCACGUCGGGGUCGGUAUCGAGGUCCUGAAGUGUUUGGUGUCGCGAGCUGAUUAGCUGUCUCUAUGGCUAGAGUAAUCGGGUUGUCGGGGUCGUAUGCGCCGCAGAACCGCGGCAAUCGAAACAGGGUACAAGGCGAGUAUACUGUGCUCUUAAUACGUUUUUAAGAACGUUUCGUAAACUUUAUCCACAACUGACAAGUGUAAAAGCAUAGAAAAAAUGCUCUGAAUAUAAUUGCUUUCACAUCGACCGUACAACGCGUCAAAUCUGCGAGCGAGCAUCUUGCACUGCACUGCGAGCGCCCUACACUCCCUCUCCAUAGCAGCGUCAUCUGUCAGUCUGUCGGUCAGUACGUGCCCUGGGUAUUUAAAGCUCUUCAAAACCCGAACUGGCGAGCCACACCGGCGCAUGUCAUUGGGACCUUACUGCCCCGAAAACAAGAAUUUAUGUUUUCAGCAUAGAAUAAGGAAGUUUUCAGUCCGUUGCGUUGUACUGAAGUUCUUAGAAAACUUCUCACAGAUUUUGACAAGUUUCCUAAGCUCACUAAUCAAAGCGCUGAGCAGCUCAAGCAGCUUGAGUAACUCAAGUUGUUAAUUUUCAGGUUACCCACAUGACAAUCGAUUCCUUAGCUGCUCUAUUAGGUCAUUUAACGGCUUACGGCCGAGCGGGGGUGAGGUCUCGGCGCCGGAUACAAAUUGGUGCGGGGCGGAGAGUUACCGUUAUAUAUAUAGGAGGAUCAGGGGGGAAUCUCCUCCUGACGGGAGCCCAACACUCGUCUCUUCAAACCGGCCAGGAUGGAAACGUGGUGAUCCCAGAGAUAGCGUGAUGCAACCGUUCAAUCUCACUCCUUUUUAAAAAGUAACCCCCGUUGACGUCUCGACCACCCCCCUUGACAUUCCGCAGUGUUGCCAUUUUGUACAAACAAAUUUACCUUAAAAUUACUAGUUGACAGUCACGCCAUAUCUGAUUUCA